GCUCCAGUGGUGCAAUCGGUCAGCGCGUGGUACUUAUACACCAGUGCACAUGCUGAGGUUGUGAGUUCAAGCCUCACCUGAAGCA
rnacentral:tRNA from 1 species